rnacentral:rRNA from 1 species
UUGCUCUCUGGAUUCAGCGGCGGACGGGUGAGUAACACGUGGGCAACCUGCCUGUAAGACUGGGAUAACUCCGGGAAACCGGGGCUAAUACCGGAUAACUUCUUUUCCCGCAUGGGGAGAGGUUGAAAGACGGUUAUGCUGUCACUUACAGAUGGGCCCGCGGCGCAUUAGCUAGUUGGUGGGGUAACGGCCUACCAAGGCGACGAUGCGUAGCCGACCUGAGAGGGUGAUCGGCCACACUGGGACUGAGACACGGCCCAGACUCCUACGGGAGGCAGCAGUAGGGAAUCUUCCGCAAUGGACGAAAGUCUGACGGAGCAACGCCGCGUGAGUGACGAAGGCCUUCGGGUCGUAAAACUCUGUUAUCAGGGAAGAACAAGCAUCGUUUAACUGACGGUGCCAUGACGGUACCUGACCAGAAAGCCACGGCUAACUACGUGCCAGCAGCCGCGGUAAUACGUAGGUGGCAAGCGUUGUCCGGAAUUAUUGGGCGUAAAGCGCGCGCAGGCGGCUUCUUAAGUCUGAUGUGAAAGCCCACGGCUCAACCGUGGAGGGUCAUUGGAAACUGGGAGGCUUGAGUGCAGAAGAGGAGAGCGGAAUUCCACGUGUAGCGGUGAAAUGCGUAGAGAUGUGGAGGAACACCAGUGGCGAAGGCGGCUCUCUGGUCUGUAACUGACGCUGAGGCGCGAAAGCGUG